GACGAACGCUGGCGGCGUGCUUAACACAUGCAAGUCGAACGGAAAGGCCCUGCUUGCAGGGUACUCGAGUGGCGAACGGGUGAGUAACACGUGGGUGAUCUUCCCUGCACUUCGGGAUAAGCCUGGGAAACUGGGUCUAAUACCGGAUAGGAGCCAUUUUUAGUGUGAUGGUUGGAAAGUUUUUUCGGUGUAGGAUGAGCUCGCGGCCUAUCAGCUUGUUGGUGGGGUAAUGGCCUACCAAGGCGGCGACGGGUAGCCGGCCUGAGAGGGUGGACGGCCACAUUGGGACUGAGAUACGGCCCAGACUCCUACGGGAGGCAGCAGUGGGGAAUAUUGCACAAUGGGCGCAAGCCUGAUGCAGCGACGCCGCGUGGGGGAUGACGGACUUCGGGUUGUAAACUCCUUUCGCUAGGGACGAAGCUUUUUGUGACGGUACCUAGAUAAGAAGCACCGGCUAACUACGUG
rnacentral:rRNA from 1 species